CAUGGACAUGAGCCGUGUGCAGCCCAUCAAGCUUGCCAGGGUCACCAAGGUUUUGGGCAGGACCAGUUCUCAGGGACAGUGCACACAGGUGCACAUAGAAUUCAUGGACAACACAAGCUGCUCCAUCAUCCGAAACAUGAAAGGUGCCGUGCGGGAGGGUGACGUGCUCACCUUGUUGGAGUCAGAGCGAGAGGCUUGGAGGCUACGCUGAACUUGUGACUGGGUGCUGGAUGUCUGGGUUGAUGCCUUGGCCCACUAGGAUGAUCUGCUGUUA